GUGAAUCUUACACACCUUUGACACAAAUACACAAUGUAAAGCAUAAAAAAACAAACAUAUACACAAAAAGACCAAGCGAUGUCUACUUUUUGCCUUGGUCCAAUCUCUCAACUAUUUUCACUUUUUCUCCAAGGUUAUUGCUCUGCACUUCCUCACAGUCCCCUCCACAUCACCACCGCUUUUCCUCUCUUCCAGACACCCCGGGCUCUGACUGAGCACUGCACUAUGGCACACCAUCGCACGGUACAGUGAGCACACAGCAGCACCGCUGUGACAGUGUCCAGCAGACACGUGAGCAGGGGCUACAGAAAUGCUUCUCUAAGUAAGCAAGCCUAUAUCCACAAAAGUAUUUUUGGAGCACUGUUCAUAAUACAAGCUUGGUGAUACCUGAAGAAACCAAAAAGAUCUGUUUUACUUGGUAAGUACCAAGUUGCACCCUGCUCAGCAUAAUUCAGCUCCAACUACCUAGGGACCUCAGUCAACGCAAACACAAAGCAGGGAGCAAUAAUCCCCACUCCUAGAUAAUAAUAAUCCCCACUCCCAGAUCAUAAGAAAUCUAACACUCCUUAUGUUAUAUUCAGGAAGAAUAGGCAUCAGAACUGGAAUACCAAAUUGGAAUACCAGACACCCACAACUUAGCAGUGGAAAGGUUUACUUUUUUUGCUCACAGUUUCAGUCCAUGGUCAUUUGGCUCCAAGCCAGUAAUAGGAUGGCAGAAGGGCAUGGGAGAUGAAAACGUGCUCAACCUCUGGCAGCCAGAAAGCAGAGAGAGAGAAGGGAGGAGCAAGGACAAGAAUACACCCUUCCAGGUCAUAUGCCAGUGACCCACCUCCACUCAAGCCCCACGUCCUAACAGCAAAUCGGCCAUUGCACCUUCCUGAAUUAAUCGUUUUUCAAACACACAACAAUUUUAGGAGACAUUUUAGAUCUAAACAGAUUCCAAAGGCACAUCUGGACAGCUUCAACACUUGGUUCUUUGCCCAUUAAUGUUAUCCGACUUUUUCAUAUGUGUGAUGCUGGGGAUAAAACCUAGGGCCUUGUGUGCACUCUACCACUGCUACUCCUCCAAGUCCCGACUUCUUAACUAAACACAGAUUUGGGGACAGUCAUUAGAACUGGCUUUUUUGCCCAAGGGCCAUUUCAUAGUCCUGGUGGAAAUGGAAAUUUUACACCCUGGUUCACAUUGGGAAGUUUACUAAAGAUAUGGCUUACAUAGAAAGCAUCUUGGGGCCUUGGAAGGUGGCAAGGCCAUGGAGUCACAGGCAACUGAAAUGGAACAUUUUGUACUCUGCUCCCCUGCUGGUUGAUGACCACAUUCAAUGUGCUCUACUCUCCUUGCUCCAUAGCAAGCCAAAUCAAUCAAUCAGCUAACAAUAGCAAAUCAACUCCAAAGAAUACGGAACAACAGCAAUAAAUGGGCACACUGUACUUCCCUUGACCUUUAAGCUGAUUGUAGGCCUGACUAUCUUCCAAUUUGGAAGUGAAAUGAAACAGCGGUUGAGGGCAUUUGAGUGUGGAAGAGAGGCUUGGGCUGAGCCAGCCAGGCGGCAAUAAUUGCUCAAGCUGUUUAUUUAUGACAGACACUGGGGCUGCCAAUGUAAGGUAUUCUUUCUACUCUGCACUAGGCACUUGUACGUAAUACCUCAUUUAAGCUUCAUAGCUCCAUUCAUUUAUUCAUUCAUUCACUCACUCACUCAUUCAAAUAUUCAUCAAAUUUUUAUUGAAUGUUCACUUUGAGUUAGGCACUGUUUUAGGGGGUGAAUCAGGCCAAGCAGAUCUUUGUCCUCACAGAGCUUACACUCCAGUGGGAAAGUCAAAUAACUGCUAAGGAAACAAAGGACAGGUGUACAGUCACUCCUCAGCAGUACCCAGAGCUCAGGACCUAGAGGGCUCAAGGACACCACAUUUUAAAGAGGCUGGGAACCAUUACAUUACCAUUGGUGCCUGGUUCCCAUCAUCUCAUCCAAAAGCAAAAAAGUCUGAAUCUCUGGAAAUGAAGCACUAGAAUUUCAACUUAAAACUUUGAAAAUAAUUGUGACUUUAUGGAAAAGUUGUGGUACGGUAACUGCACCAAGAACUGCUAGAUUUGCCAAUUUUUAUAUUUCACAUUUGCAUUUUAUUCUGUGUGUAUGCACAUAAGUGUAUUGCAUAUUUUUUGUGAGUCAUCUAAGACUGAGACACAUAUCAUGUCCCUUGGCUUAUGUCUUAAGAACAAGGUGAUUUCUUAUCAAACCUGAGUACAUUGAUCAAAAUCAGGACAUUUAGAAGAGCAGAGAACAGAUCAAGAGGAUGAAGAAGUCGAGCCAUAAAAGACUCACUAGUUCUCUCACUGUUCCCAUAUGGUGAGCAUUAAACUGGAUCAGAGAUUGAGAUGCUUUAAUUAUAUUGGACUUUAUGAAAUCAGAGCUUACAGAAAACAUAUGGAAUGUACCCAAUAUGCCUUUAAGGGACUGAAAAGAGAUUCAUAGAGCAGGGCUGAAGGCAGUUUCUGCAGAGAAAAUAAAAUUUUUGUUUGGACCACCCCAUAUUGAGGCUUCUCAGUAAACUGGUUCCCUGUCCCUUUAGACAGCACAGCUAGGGAUGCCCUCUCUAAGGAGAUGAUGACACACUUCUAAAGGAUGAAACAGAGGGGUCACAGAAGAGCUGAGAAAGGUGAUGUGACAGAAGGGAAGAGAAACUAUGGAAGCCUGAGGUGAGGAUUCUUAUGUGUCUCAUCUCAAGAAGAGAAAGAGGCUUGGGGUGGUGAGGACUGCAGCCUACUGAGGGGAAGUGGGUCCAGGACAGGCUGAGUGGUGAGAGGAUGCAUAGAAAUACUUUGUAAGUUUUCAUAAUUAUAAAGUACUAUGUGUUUAUUUAAAAAUUCCAACAGGACACUCACUCCCAUCUAGUCCAAAUUCCCAAAGGUAACUAUCAUCAAUUUUCUUCCAGACUGUUUCGAUAUCACAAUUUCCACGUAUAUAUUUUUAAAUAUGGAUAAAACAUAGCUCUGCAAUUUUAUAUUUUUGACUUGAAAAUACAUCAUGAAUCUCCUUCCACAUUAUGGUUAACUAAAUGAUGCUAAAUCUACACCACACAGCUGUUAAAUAUCAUGACGCUGCUGUCUCAUUACUAACUAGAAUGAUAUUCAGAGAAUUUUAAAGCCAAAGGAACAGUGAGUAUAUAACAGAAUAUACACGUAACUCCAAUUUUAAUAAAAUAUGAAUAUAUA